CCAUUCCUCUGCUAGGGUUUUGACCUUGCUUUAGGGAGCCACAUAGGAGGGUCAUCGGUGCUUCAGCACCUUCGCCUCUGACGCCGAUCCAUGAAGCGAACACAGGUAAGCCCUUUCUCUUUCAGUUUUUAUUUAGAAUCCGUUUGUAAAAAAAACGAAAAGAAGGAAAAAAGGAAACGUGAAUUUGAAAAGAAAAUCCCAGAAAAAGAAUGAAAAACAACCUUUUAAACCUUGGAUCUAAUUUUUUUUAUUGCUAUUGAUUGUUUUUUUAUUCAGUAUCCAUAAAAACUUUGCACCGAUUCUCUGGCUUUUUAUAGCAAAAAAAAUGAAAACGAAAUUACAACCUCAUUUUUCUUCUAUAUUUUCUACUAUUAUUUUUUACUAUUUUCUGUUAUUUGCUGGUUAUUUGCUGUAGUUAGUUUCUUCCCGCAGGUUCUGCUGAUGUGGAAGUGUACGGAGAAGAAGGCCACUUGUGGGGAGGCUACGGCACGCAUGAGCAGCAGCUUCGUGGCCUAGAGUUUCCAGCAGAUCUCAUCUGUUCAGGCCAUUUGGGCCAGUGUGCCUUGGGCCCUUGGAAUUGGGUCUGUUUUAGGUUUUUAGCAACUGGGUUGGGUCUAGGUCUUAGGUUGGGUCUAUUGUAAAAUGGGUUUUGAAAUUUGGGCUAUAACUUGUGUUUGGGCUAGAAUUUUGUGAUCUGGACUAAUAUUUUAUUUUUUAUUUUGGACUAUUAAAAAAACCUGGUGUAAAUGGACUUUUAUUUAUUAUUUUUUUGUUUUAAGUUAUUUUAUUUAUUUUUGGAUAACUUUAUGGGCCCAGACGAAAUGGGCCUUCUACAAACCCCACACACCAAAUUAGUGAUCAUAUGUCAUUGUAUAGAAAUAUGCAGUUAAACUGCCAGAUAUAGUACAAAAAACUGCUAGAAUUAGAUAUAUGCAGUGUUUAACUGCCAAAUACAAUAAUUUGCAGUGUUACGGCUAGAAAUUG
rnacentral:lncRNA from 1 species